UUCAGCAGAAAAAUCUUGCCCAUCAUACAUACAGUUCCUGGAGUACAGAAGCUCAAAGUCCAAAGAGCGUCAGUCUUUUAACUACGGACCGAGAGGAAGACAUCGGGUUAAAGAACGAAAACACGUCCAGAUAAACAUUGGAUUGAUGGCACCACAUGGAAUAGAUUUAAAACCUGUAAGAGGGAAAACAGACCCUUUAUUUGUUUACCCAGAGGUAGGAGCACCUGAGGUACUGCAACAAGCUGUCCAGAAGAUGAGAAUAUUUCACAAGGACAUACAAGUACACCCUUUUGUAUCCAGACUGCUCAGAGGUAGUCCAUGUCCCCGGAUCAGAAAGGCCAUUCAAAUAGUCAGACUAUAAAAAGGAAUUAGGAAGGCCAUAUUCCAGGAUCACAUUUUUUAUUUGCCUAGAAACACAUUUUAAAGGAGCAGUGGAUGAUACCUCAGACUCUGAUUGUGAAAUUAUCAUCACAUCAAGGAGCAUGGCUGAAUUCAAUCG